rnacentral:lncRNA from 1 species
ACAAAGUACAAAGUUCUAGAAACCAACUUCAGGGAGAAGAGAAAACAUUAGGAAUAUAUGAGCUGAAUGACUCCUUUUCUUACUUCUCUCUUCAGCUAUGGCAGACAUGAUACUGUCAGCAUCUGGGUGCCCACAUAAACAGCUGUCUACAGGAAACAAGGCAGGAGGCCCAUAUUAAAUAAUGAAGAUAGAAUACAUUAAUUACACCAUGGUAAGUAACUAUCAUAUAAAAUAUGACCAUUAUAUGAUUGUUAUUACUUUUACUACAUUAUUCAUGCUGGCAUAAAUAUAACAACCCACUAGUCAUCAGUGUCAAACUGUUUUUAUAGAGAAGGAAAAUGGAGCUCAAAGCAUUUAAUGGCCUAAUGGCCAAACCUCUGAAACACCAGAAUAAUGGUUGGCAAUGCAUGAAAAGAAGCCGGCAGGUUUGCCAGUGGGACAGCUUAAUGACUGAGCUGUUUUAAUCCUGACUUCCCAUUCCACUGAUGCUUUCCUCAGACUUAUAACUGAGUAGAACAGGUUACAAUAUAUGGCAGAAUGAAUUCAAGAAUCCAGAAAGUUACCCUGGCCCAGGAUAUCAAACAUGGUGCUCUAGUUGUAUCAUUUGGGUUUCAUUUGCAUGAUUCUUGAAAACAACGUUCUAGAUCCAUACCGGACCCUCAUAAAACAAAUUUUUUGUAGUGAUAAUCUAUGUAAGUUAAGAGCAAAUUUUCCCACUAAUCUUUCAUAUCAAGUGGGCGAAACAGCUUAAUUGGUUCAGGGACACUUUCCUAAGGACACAGUUGCCAUUAGGUUUAAUGACCUUAAAUCCUUGAUCUUUUCAGGAUGUUAUAUUCCCUCUUAUAAUUCCUGAGUACAAAUAUGAGAAUGGAUCUAAAAGAGGAAGGAGAAAGAGAGUUGACAGAUUGAAACUAUGGAAGGUAAAAGCAAGUUUUUUUCAAAUUCAUGAUUCUCAAACACUUUCUUGCUAGACUUACGAAGGUUGUUGGUGUUGUUCCCUGAUCCACUCCUGAGCUUUGUUCUCAUACAGAACUAAAAUGAACAAAGCAAAGGAAAUUGUUUUCUUAAAACUUUUUAAAUUAUCAAGAAAACAUUACAAUUUAUGUUUGGUAAUUAUUUAGAAAAUAUAAGAUACAGACAGAUAAAGGUAUCUCAGUGGAGCUGGAUUUUCAAUUUCUGCAGAUGCCUAUUCUUCAUGUAUAUGAAUAUGGACACCAACCACUCAUUCAUCUAGCAUUUCUUUGGGGCUUCUGUGUUCAGAGUAGAACCUUGGCAAUAUGAUUAGGUCUUUGUAACUCCUAUGAUGUUAGUGAAAAUUGCCAUUAUUUUGUCACUAUUGCUCACUUCUGCUAAAUUUUCAAUUGCUAUGAGAAAUUCAGUAAAAAAAAAUUAAAAAUCUCAACUAGAAUUCUCACUAAAUGUCAAGUAGGAAAAAAUUAAUGCUCAUGGCCCAACUACACACAAGAUUCCCCUGAAGAUCACAUGAAAUAAUGCAUCUGAAAUACUUUGUAGCAAUGGACAUUAUGUGUACACGGUGAUUGGAUCAUUUUAAGUUAAUAAUAUAAUGGCACAACAUGCAAGCUUAUCCUAUCAUGCUAACUUUUUUAAAAAUUCAUUGAUAUUUUAUUAUAGAAUAACUAAAUAUCCUCUAUAGAUAGAUUUAAUAUAUUUGCUUUUACUGUAAACACACCAUUUAAAGCAGUACUUAAAUUAUUAGAAAUUCCUAUUUAAAUCAUUAGGGAAGUUUUAACAAUACAUAAAAAUGGAAAGAAUAUCAUCACAAUCUCCAUGUGUCAACGAACCAGUUUUAACAAUUUCCAACACAUGGUCUCAUCUAUUUCUACCCUCCUUUCUCCAAUACACACAGUGGAUUUAUCAAAGUGAACACCAAACAUUGUGCCAUAUUCUCCUUAAUAAUUUCAAUAUAGGUCUUCAAAGUAUGAGGACUCUUUCUUCAUAUGUUUGUUUUUAACAUGAGCACAAUAGUUAUCCAUGUGACCAUGUUUUUUUGUUUUGUUUUGUUUUGUUUUGUUUUGUUUUGUUUUUACAUUUUGGGAUGGAGUCUCACUAUAUUGUCCCGGCUGUUCUUAAAAUUUGUGGGUUCAAAUGAUUUUCCUGCCCUAGCCUCAUGAAUAGCUGAGACUGCAGGCAUGUGCCAAAGUAUUUAGCUUAGAUAUUUUUAAAAAGGUCUUCAGGAGACAAUUUCUGAUUGAGGAAGAAUAUAGUUGCAUAUCUAAUAUUUAAGCAUAUUUGAUGACUCCAUGUAGGCCUUAGGAUGAAAUAUCAACCCUAAAAUUAUUCUGUAGUCAAAAUCAUCACCUGGUCCACACCAUGGCCUGUGCAUAUUUGUUUACAGUGUUUACACAUCAUGAGGUCAAGCUUCCUGCUGCCAUUCUGUCUGGACGCUAUACAUUUUACAAGGACUUGCCCAGUCUAACCUCUUGAUUUCUCCACCUUACUGAAGACACCAGAGUUUAAUCAUUUUCUUUAAACCCCUAGUGUAUUUAUUCCACUGUAAAAAGGGCAGAAUUUUAUUGAUUAAAAGCAUAUGCUUUAGAGUCUGACAAAGCCAGGUCUGAGAAUUUCUCCUGACUUACCAGCUAAAUGCCCUUGGGAAAGUCCUUCCUAAUCUUCAUAUCCUCAGGUAUUAAUAGGAAUAAUUUAUAUUGUUGAUAAGGAGAUCUAUUAAGAACCUGUGUAAGUAUACCUACAUGUACAUAUGGAUAUAUACAUAUAUGUAUAUAUAUAUAUAUAUAUAUAUAUAUAAUGUAUCUUCUGAAGACAUAAUUUAUUAUAAUGCACGUUUAUAUACAACAUAUUCACACAUAUAUAUGUACAUAUGUAGUACAACAUAGAAAACAAAAAUCAAAUCAAAAUAGUGUUUUGCUGCUUUUCACAAUCUAUAUUCAAAUCUAUAUUCAAUAACACAUUCUGUGUUUUGCUUUAAUUUAUCAUCUUGGAUUGUUAGUAUUUUUCUUUGUGCUUACUUCUAGACAUCAGCUUUUUGAAGUCAUAGUCUUUGACUUCUCCAUAGUGGCUGGUUUCACGCAGGAGAUUCUCAAAGGUAUUUCUGAAGACAGCCAGCCAGCAUGCAGGGAGCUGGAGAGGCCAGGGUUCGCCUUCUUUUCUACUGUGAGGGCCUCAUGUUCAAUAGCAGAGCCCAGCCCCCUCCUUCUAGGCUCCCUACCAGGCUUGCAACGUGUGUGCAGUACGGAGCAGACCACUUUAAAGUGAAUCUGUACACUUCUACCCAAAGGAAAAACCUUUUAUGCAGAAAAACAGGUGAUGGGACAACUGGAGAAACAGUCAUUGCUAACCUAAGUGAGUUUCCAGACAGCUGAUCCUACCACCGGGCUGGCUGUCUUUAUCCUGAAAAUGUCAUCCUUCUUUAGUCUGUAAAUAUCAUGCUAUAGAACACCUUAGAGCUGGCUUUGGGAAGAGACGGAGCCAAAGAUGCACAGGCAGUUUUCUGUCAACCAAAGGACAAUGCUUCUUUCUUGGAUUUAAUAAAAAGGGGAGGGGGCUGGGCAGGCUGCUAUGGAGAAAGGAUAAGCAAUAUCCCUCCUGCCAUCGCUUUGUGGCUUCUGUAAUAAAAUGAUGAAAGAGCGCCUUUGUCCUCCCAAACACCGGUCUUACUUGGGCACAUUUGCUUUUUCACUUUCAAAUGCGUGAAUUCUUGGAAUAUGACUGUGGUUUGCCUUUUAAACCUGCACCCAUAGGUUCUGUUAAGGGCUAUGCAGGGUCCUUUUACCUUGCAAUAUCUCCCAAGCCCAGGCCAAAUCCUCUAUUUCACCUUUUCAAAGUCUCACACUCCACUAAGUCAAGAUGUAGUUCAGUUAACUAACACUUUGUCAAAAAUAAAUUCCACCAGAAAUGUAAAGAUUAUCUUUCCUUAAUGUGAAACAUUCUGUACCUUGAAUUACAUAGUCAGAUUUUUCUGCAUUUAUUACCUGGCUGAGAACAGAAAAUGACAAUUUCAUUGUAAAGGGAGAAGUAACUUUUGGCUUAUGGAUCAAUUCUAGUGAGGGCCCUGUCUGAGAAGGGGGUCGAUAUGAUAGAAUUUGUGGAGCAAAAAGACUAUGGAAGGCUGCUGGUGUUUGCAGCUAGAGGGGAUAUGUAGGAGAAAAUGAAAAACAUAGGAGAUGAUGACAGAGAAUCAGAAGAAGAAGCAGAAAGCAUGGAGGACAGACUUAAUCCUUCUGAAGUUUUUCUAGUGCUGUGCAUAUGGAAGCAGGAAAAAGGUAGUGGUUUGGAGUACAAGGUCCAGAGACAAACCCCUAUAAACUAAUCCCAGCUGCCCUCCUUACCAGCUCUGAAGUUUUGGAAAACUUACUCUGAUUCCAUAAGCCUAAGUUUUUUAUCUGUUAAAUGAGGAUGAAAAUGUGUUCACAGGUCACAGGGCUGUAUUGAGGAUUAAAGAGAACAAUGCAUGUUAUACAUUUAGCAAAGAGACUGGUACAUACAUUUGCCCAGUGAAUGCCAAGUAUCAUUAAAUAUAUUUUUCUAAAAGUAAGAAAAGAAUAAUUAGUAUCAGAAGUUCUUUGGAUUGGUAAACUAUUCAUUAUAUGUAAUUUUUGCCAUUUAAGAUUGUUUUUAAAGAUCAAUGAUAAAAAGUCCAGUAUUUAUUUAUAUCUUUGCAAUUAUUAAUUUAUUUCUUUGUUAUCGUUGGUUAUGAAGUGACUUCCAAAAGUUCCUGUGUUCAUGUACAGAUGUUUGGAGUGAAAUAAUUGGAUUGUAAGAGCUGUAACCUCUCAGUUUGAAUGGACUAACUAGGUGGUAACUGCAGGCAGGUAAGGUGUAGUGGGAGGAGAUGUUCAGUAAGAGCUUUCUCCAGAAGGGUUCAUCUUUCCUGCAGUCCUCCCUCCCACUUUUUUUUCUCUCUGGUUCCUGGUGGCCCUUAAUGGAAACAUGAAUGGAGCAGUGCUCCUCCACCAAACACUUCUGCCUCACGUGAGCCCAGAGCCAUGGAGUUGGCCCACCAAGGACUGAACCUCUGAAACUUCGAGCCAAAAUAAACUUUUCCUCUUUCUAGUUGUCCUUGUCAGGUACUUUGGACACACCUACUAAGCUAAGAUUGAAUGCAAAAUUCAGUACUUUGUAGAAAUGUUUUGAGGUCUUUAGAUACAAUCACAGAUUUAAUUUUCAUAAUAACCUAUUUUACACAUGAGAACAUAAAGGCUAAAGAGAUUAAGGAACUUGUUCAUGAUUCCUUGGGUAUUAUGGUAGAAUGAAGAUUUGACCUAGAGCAAUGAGAUACCUGAUCCUGUGUUCAUAACACUAUAAGGUCUAGAAAAACAAAGACACUUGUUAAAAAUCAAAUAGCAAGUGAGAAGUAGGCCUGCUAACAAUCUUUUUUUCUCUUUUCAAAUAAGAUUCUUUCCUUACUAGCUUUCAUCUCUCCUCCAUGAGGGCUGCUCAGCUAACUAUAGGAAUUAGGACUGAACUAAGCAUUCAGAGGUCUGGGCACCAGACCAGCUCCCAUACUCAAUACCUAGGUGGCCCAGAGAAGGGAAUGAAUAGUGACUUUGAGCUUCAGUUUUAUCAUAAGCUACUUGGCUGUGACAAUUAGUCUUAGAAUAGCAUUUUUGGUCAUGGCAAGAUCAAAGGAAAUCAUGGAAGACUACUUUGCUAACUCUAAACCAGCAACUGGCGGUAAGAUAUUAUUCUUAUUUUUGCCAACAUUAAUAUCCUUUCUUUGAAUGUAUCUUUUGGAGUAAUCUAUGGUCACAAAUCUAAAUGAUAAUAAGACUUCUCUAGAGCUUUUUUGUUGUUUUCAACUACCAAUUUCUGAACUCUAUAGUUUUUGAGAAUCUAAUCCAUUGGUCUGGGAAAGGAUUUAUGAAAUACAAUUUUAAAACUUUCUAUGUAUUUCUGAUUAAACAGGUUUAUGAAACUUCAGUUUAUACCGAAAGUUUUAGCUCUGGAUCUUAAAAUAUCUUGAUAGUUCCCUCCUACAUUUUCCUGAGUCUGGACUCUAUCCUUUUUAUAACUUAGCUCCUUAACAGAAAUCGUAUUUCCUAUUUUUCCCUUAUUAAAACUAGGAGAACCCAGAUUGGGGCUGGUUAGGAUAGUUGAUUAAAUUAUAUGUAUUGACUUGAUUGAAAUCCACGAUAAGUAAACCUGUAGCAUACUUGUGUAAAACAACAAAAAAAAUUAAAAGAAACAGUCUUAAACUUGCAGAAAAGAAUUCUUUAUUGAUGCUGAGGAAUUGCCUUCUUGAAUGGCACCCCCAGGGCAUGGGUAUAGAUUAAAUGACCUUUUAAGGUAGUGACCCUUUAGAAAGGUUAUUUUUGAUUCAAAGGCCAAGUCGAGACAAGCAAAUCAUUUUGGUGAAAAUAAAAUAGCUGAAUUCAGCCAGUGAAAUGAGUAUUUAGUGAACUAUCCUUUAAAUGAAGUGGUAUUCUUAGUGGUCUAUUAGGGACUUAAAAUCCAGCCUGGUGUUUUACUGAGGUGCAGGAUCAUAGCCCACAGAGGCUGCCACGGAAUCAGGGAUUAAAUCCUGGUGUCAUGCCUUAACCUUUAGAGACCUUCACAAGUUUCUCACAGCUCACGUUUUCUCAUCUGUGCAACUCAGUCCAGAAUGAGAAGAGUCAACAUCCCCAUGCAAAACACAUGUGCUGGCACAGGGUGAGCAUGGAAUAAAUGGCAGCUGCUAUUAUUUUUAGACAUAGCUAAUGCACCCCCAAACUUUCUGAUUUCUCCAUUUCCCCUGAUGGUUGGAAGAAAUUAAUGCAGUUGCUGAAGCAUCGAAUGAGUGUAUAAAGCACUGGGAAAGGCUGACUUAAUACAUGUGAUUUAAUUCCAGAAUGUGCUUCUGAAAAUCCCCUGACUUCUUUGUGAAUAUCUGUUAUCUCUCUGCUUAAAAACAAGGUGCACAACACUUCUUGUAGCAUUUUGGCUGCUUGUUUUAGAAGGAGACAUUGAUAAAUUGGAGAGGAUCCAAAAAUGAUAAAAGGAUUAGAGGAUAUGACCUACGGAGAAAGAUUAUUAAAAGAACUUCAUACACCCAGCCUGGAGCCACAAUGACAGUGGGUGGGGAAUAUGAUAAGUGAACAUAAAUACUAGAAAUAGGUAAGAAAUAAGGAAAGAAACGAUUUCAGGUGAUCAGAGGGUAGACAAACAGGAUGCAUGGUCUUAAACCAGAAAAACAAGCACACAUGGAAAGGAUUCUUAGGAGAAAAAAAAUUCAACAGAAAGGUCAGUUAACACCUUGUUUAUUUAAUCUGGGAGGAGAUCCUAUGUAGCUCUAUAAAUGUAUCUCUGAAGGCCAGUUCUUCCACGGUCCAACCUGAGGGACGACGUGCAAAGAAGGUGUGUCCUGGCUUAUUGCACUCUCUCUUGAGGCCUUUGACCUUAGGAAAUGUAGAAAUAUCCAGGGGUAGGAUCAGGAUGCAUUUAUUCUCCAUAUUUUUCUUCUCUCACUAGUGUAGUUCAGCAGAUUAGUGACCUACAGAAUGAUAGGUCCUCUUUUCAGAAGCUGUGAAUGUGACCUAUUGUGUGUGUGUGUUUGUGUAUUUAUUGUAUGGGGAUGAAGCCUAGGGUCUCCUGUGUGCUAGGCAAGUGCUCUACCCCUGAGCCACACCCAAGCUUCCCACCCUUUUUCAAAAAACAAAUAUUUGUGGAUAAAAGUGUGAAAGUGAACUUGAAAGCCUUGAGCUGAGAUCAGUUUGUAUUAUCUGGGUGGGUCCGAACUCCAAUAUCAAGUGUCCUUAAUGCAUGCAGAUGUGAAUCCACAGAGACACAGAAAGAGGUGGGGGAAGUGUGGAGACAGGAAUUGGAGUGAUGUAGACAGCAAAGCUGAGACUACCAGGGUCUCCAAAAGCUGGAACAGACAAUGAAGGAUACGUCCUUAGAAUUCAGAGGGGACUGGCCCUGGAAACACUUUGAUUUUGGAAUUCUGGCUUCCAGCAUAGUGAGAGAAUAAAUUUAUAUUGUUUUAAGCUGCUUUCAAUAAUUUGUUGUGGAAGCCUGAAGAAACUGAUAGACUCAGUAUAAGGAUUAAUUUUCAAAAAUAGAAAUCCCAGAAAUUCUGAACAUCAGGCACCAAAAAGUUGAUAAUUAAUGCAUGAAAAAAAGUUCAUAUGCUUCCUUUUGGUUCAAAUAUUAGGAUUCAGUGAGAUGUACUCAUGAUAGAUGCAGCUUGAGAAAUGUUGGAGCAGGAUGGAGACCUGAGAGGCUGACCUAGGCAUGGGCUGACUAGUGUAAUUCAGUGGAUUGGUGACCUACAGAAUGAUAGGUCCUCAGAAGCUGUGAAUGUGACCUAACAGCAGCAGCAUUAUCUAGAAUUAGACCUGGAGCCAGAAUAUUAAAAUAAAUAACUCCAAAGAACAUAUGGACUACAGGGACAGAGGACGUGAGGUGUAUGGAGGCUGAUUUCUUGUGAGGGGUCCUCUAGGAACCCUGAGGUACUCCUCAGAGUCUAAGCUGAUAUGCAGAAUCAGGCUACAGCCCAUGGAAGAGGAACUUUAAAUGCAAGAGUGGAUCCAACUACACAGAAAAACCCUGGAUGUUUGGCAGCUCAGACCUGGACACUUCAUGAGGUAGACCCACAACACAAGCAGCUAAUGAGAACCUUCAGGGUAGAGAACAGCAGGUGACCUAAAAUGUACAAGAUAUUGAACCAGGAACUUCAGUGCUAUUGGAGGGUAUGGACGCUCAUUCAACAUUUAACAAGCAUCUGCGACUGGGCACUGCAUCACAACAAUUAUUCAGAAAGAUGCCCAAACAAAUCUCAAGGAGGCUAUAUAAAAGAGAAAAAUAAGCCGGACGUGGUGGUGCAUGCCAGGAAUCCCAAUGGCUUGGGGAGCUGAGACAGGAGGAUCCUGGGUUCAAAGCCAGCCUUGGCAAGGGCAAGGUGCUAAACAACUUAGUGAGACCUGUCUCUAAUAAAAUACAAAAUAGGGCUGGGAAUGUGGCUCAGUGGUUGAGUGCCCCUGAGUUCAAUCCCCAGUACCAAAAAAAAGGGAGAGAAAAAUAUCUAACUAUUUAACAGAUACAAUUUGAAGGCGACAGGUAAACAAUGAGCAAAACAUAGAUUUCAGUAGAAGUAAAUGAAAAGUGCUAAAGAUAAUAAUGCCUUCAUGUUACUUGGAAAUAAGUUGUUUAAUAAAUACACUCCUUUACCCUGGGAUGCUAAGAUAUUUGCAGUCCCUUCGAGGAUAUUUUGGUUUCAAAGAGGCUUCCCAAGAUAGAAUGAGUGACAACACAAAUGGAUUUAUAACUUGUGGCAGAAUCCAAACCUCAGAGAAGAAUGAUUGGAACUUCCCUGGAUAUCCACUCAUAUACUUUGCGUAAAUGACUUCAUAUAUUUAGUCAAAACUUUGAAUAAUAAUUCAUAGCACUGAAAAGGAAUAGAGUCUUGCAGGAUUUAUCAAAUAGCAUGUGGUUGCACAGAUGGGAGGGAAGGUGGCAGUCAGGGCUGCUUGGGGCCACCUUGUGCCUAAGGGCCUUGAGAGUCCUUGUGACUAGUCUGCACAAGUUGUCCUCUGUAGGAGCCAGGCCUAGAAACAGGCUCUAAUGACUUUCUCCAAGGUUUUCAGAUGUGAUGAAUUUUAAUUCAGAACACUUUCGGUUUAUACUUAGGGAGAGUAAGGAAUAAUGUUGACAGAUGUGUACUUCCAUGACAGACUCAAGUGUUAAGAUCUGGGUUAGUUUACAUAAAUUUUAAAAAUCAGGCUACCUUCUAUCAAACAGUGUUCUAGCAACUCUCCUAUAAAUUAUGUGCAAGUUUCUUUAUUUGUUCCUGUGGUAUAAUUAAUAUUAUUCUCAUUUACAGAUGAGAAGAGUGAGGUUUAUAGAGGUAAGUCAUUUGUCCACACUUCCUAACAACUAAGGAAAAGAUCUCGGAUUUGAACCAGAUUCAUCUGAUUCCCCAGUGUAUGCAAUUCUGCCUAAAGGUCUUAUGAAUGGUGAAUCAGAAAUGUAAUUCACCCACACACCUUGCAUUGAUGAAGGUAGUGCUUUGUCCUCAGCCAGUUAAUAUCAAACAAUAAAAUAGUGAUGGGAGAGGACAGAGAUGCUCUAGGUGGUAUAGAUUGAAACACUCUCAUGUAGAUGAGAUCCAUGUUUGGAGAAGGAAAUAGCCAGCUCCUUUGGAGGAAGUUACUAAUGACUCAAGAACACUCAGGUGUGGGCAGUGAAGAUAGAACUCCAAUAAUGGAUUUCUGAAUACAGGGUGGCAGAGUUAGAGAAAAUCUUGGGGCUAUUGAAACAGGGUUUUCAAUUCCCAGAUGCACUGGUCACCAGAACAUGGUGAAAAUCCUAAAAUAACCUGCUUUCACUUUUACAGAGUCUUUAAAGAUAAUAUAGUUUGCAUCAUGCAUCUCUUUCUUUUCAAGGACGCUACUUAGCCAACCUCUGGUGACCAGGAAAAGUAUUGUUAGUAGAAUCCAGGGUAAAACAUGAUUCACACAAUAAACCCACUGACACUGGAAAUAAAAGGUGCAGAAUUCAUGGAACAAAAUAUUGGUUUAUGAUUCUCCAUGACUGUCUUCUGUAUUAUUGUCCAUAGAGCCAGGUGAUAGAAGUACAGAGACAAGUCGCAUCAUCUUCAUAGAGAUUGUAAAUCAUAUGACUGCACAAUAAAUGGCAGAUCCCUACCCAAAUGAGUGAAUCCCUCAUAAAUGCUUUGAUGUUUCAAGGACAGAUUGGUGUGUGCAGAGAGAUUAGAUCAUUUUGAUUCUGUAACCAUAAACAGACUGCUAUGGUUUGGAUGUGGUUGGAUUCAUGUGGUUGGAUUCAUGUGUCAGGAGUACAGUCCUUAGUGAGGUGGAGCUCAGAGGUGGUGGGCUUUUUAGAGGUAAGACCAAGUACAUUAUGUCUUUGCUCAGUGGUUGAGAGGCACUUCAGAAAGUAUUAGAAGCCCCUAUCAGCCUGGGUUCUGUUUAAAAAUUGUGAUCCUUCCUCUCAAAUAUACUCCACCAUGUCCCAUGUGAUCCUUGCAGAGUGUACACUACGCAGUUGAAACUUUAAGCCUCCAAAAUGGUAACUGAAAUAAACCCAUUUUCUUCAUAAAGUUAGCUUGCCUCAGGUAUUUUGUUAUAGUAAUGAAAACCAGACUAAUGUACUUGUUAUGUAACCUUAGGUAAGUUGUUUGAAACUUGUUUCUAAAAUUUCAUGUCUGCAAAAUAUAAAUUAUAAAGAUUCAUCUGACCUAUAGAAGAGUUGGGAAGAUUGGGACACUAUAUAUAAUAAAAAUAGUGCCAUUGGGGAACAAUCUUUAGCAAUGAACUUCAAUAAUCUAGGAAAGAAAGGCCUGUUUUUGUGUCAUUCUCACAGAUCUCUGACCAACAAAGGGAAUAAACUAAAGGGACAGGCAUCCACUCAGAUUGGCGACGAGUUAGGCAUGGGUGGGACUUUGAAGCUCAUCUACUCCUGAACCCCAUAUAGCUUUUUUCUCAGAAAGUUGUCAGGCCUGAGCAUGAGGACUACAGGUUGGGGACAUGCCCUGCAGCACCUGCAGCUCCUGUGGACAGUACUCUCAGAAACUUAACAGGACACCAGCCUCAUCUCCUUAUAAUGUUACAACACAAAUUCUGGGCCACUGCCUUUCUCAUCUUCAAACAUAUGAAGCUGACUAUUCACAUCUUUCCUGUGGCUUCCUUUCCUCAACAAAAGAUUGUUAAUUAAUUUGGCAUCACAAUCUCUGAGUUCUGAACAUGCUGCCAUUUGUCUUUUAGAACAUGGUUAUUUAGAAUUAAGUUCCAUACAUAAAGAAGAGUUUUGACAGAGCAUGGGUGCUACCUCUUUUUAUAAAAUAUCUCAUGUCUAUUAAUGUGUGCAUAAUCAAUAAUUUCAAAAUUUGAGCUCCACAGUGUUGAAAUUUAUUGUUUGCUCAUAUUCUAGGAACAAUGAACUACUUCUCAUCUUGACUCUUAAUCGUCCACAAAUAGAUUUCAACUGGGAUUCUUACAAACUCAAAAUUAAGACUUCAUUUGCUACAACCUUAAAAUAGUUUUUGCCCUUGCUGGUAUCUUAUAAUAAGAUCCAUUCCCAAAUUCUAAGCAUCUUGAGAUUAGAGGUUAUAUCCAAUUUGUAAAUUCUCCCUAAGCAUGGAUCAUGCAGGUGUUAGGUAUGAUCCUCUCACAGCCAAAGAGAAAAAUGGUUUCAGACAUGUUGAAUGUCUUACUUCAUGCUAUGAGCAAGAGACACACCCAGGACCUGAAUAUAUGUUUUCUGUCUUACUCAGGAUGCCUUUUGUUCAUUUAUUUUUAAGUUUGCUUAAUUUUGAAAUAUUUCAGAGAAUAAAGAGAAUGACAUUUUUUUAUGAUUGGGUCCUAAACAAUCCAAUUUAUCAGAUCACAUCCUGCCAGAUUUGCUUCAUCUAUAAAAUAAAUGGAGGUCUUAACUUUUUGGGAAAAAAAAAACUUGUUAUUAUAGUUUUUCCUGAUUUAGGAAGACUUUGUAUUUAGCCAGUCUCUGUGGUACACUCCUGUAAUCUCAGCAAACUCAGGAGGCUGAAGCAGGAGGAUUGCAAUUUCAAGACUAACCUCAGCAACUUAGUGACUCUUAAAGACUUAGCAAAAUACAGUCUCAAAAUAAAACAUAAAGAAAAGGGCUAAGGAUAUGACUCAGUUAAGCAGCCCAGUUCAAUCCCUGGUACAAAAAAGAAAAAAAAAAAAGACUUUCUAUUUGUCCUCGAUUUAAUUAUGUUUUUAUAAUUAAUUUUGCUUAUUUGUAUGUUCUCAAAACUUAUUUAUUACAUCUAAGUUUUUAACUUUGGGUGCAUAAUGUUUUCAUAAUAUCUUUUUAAUAUUUCCUAAUGUCCAAUUAUUUGUCAAUAUUCUUUAUCUCCAUUUGUUUUCCUUUUUUCCCAAGUGAUAAGCCAUGUUGAAGGAUUGUGUAUAUUUUAUUUUCCAAAAUUAGAGCUGUGUAGUUUAUUGACCUGCUCUACUUUUUCUUAAUUCCUAUUUAAUAUUUUCUUCUAUCUAGUUACUUAGGUUUGCCCUCUUCAUAACCUUAGUUAAAUGAGUCAAAUGUUUACACAAUUUAUUUACACUCUCUUUUAAAAUGGUAUGUUGAAUUUACAUUGUCUUUCACUUCUAAGUCAUUUGUGAUUUCCAUUUUAAUCCCAUCCCCUUAGUUAUUUAGAAAUUUGUUUUUAAGUAUUCACAUGUAUGCUGUCUUCAAAGUGAAGUUUUUGUUUGUCAUUAAAUUGCUUUUUUAGACAGAGGACAUAAAUUGUAUGUUAGUGAUUCUUUGAAAAAUAUUAAGCUUUUUUUCUGUGGCUGAAUACUUGGUUGCUGGUUUCAAAUUUUUAUGCAUGAUAUUUUAUCUUUUAUUUGCAGAGACAAACAUCAUAAGUUUGCUGAUUUUUUUAAGCUUUAUUUUAAAAAUUAGAAUACCACAAAUUUUACUUUUCAUGUUCAAUAACAUACAGAUUCAUAUAAUUGCCAGUCAGUUCACAGAAGUAUUCUUUUGCUUUCAAAAAACUCCUCCCUACUCCCAUUUGUAGUCAUAAUCUUCCUCAAACCUCUGACCCCUAGGAGUCAUGGUUUUGCUCUCUGUCACUAUAUUCUCUUCUGUUUUUUAAUGUAAUAUAAAUGAAAUCUCGUAGCAUGUCACCUUUUGAGACCAGCUCACUCCACUCAGCAUGAGACCUUUGAGAUGUGUCCAAGCUAUGGCACAGAUCAAUUGUUUAUUCUCUUCCUGUGAUAUCUGAGUUUUCUAAUCCAUUCACUAGUUGAAGGACAUUGGCAUUGUUUCCAGUUUAGUGGAUUAUCAAUCAUUGUGCUGUAAACAUUCAUGUAUAGUUUUUGUUUUUCUGAGUUCAAUGCUCUGUCGUGGACAUCUAGGUCAUACAGUAAAUGCAUGUUCAACUUUAAAGUAACUGCCGACUCGCUUUCCACAGUGAUGUGCCAUGUCUGAGGGCUGUCAGCAUUUUUAUAUCUUUUCUAGCCCUGGUGAUUUUCAGGAUUUUUUCAUUCCAGCCAUCCUAAUAGGUUUGCAGUGGUGUUUAAUUAUGGCAAUAUUUGUCAUCAGUGUUGUGGGUACGCUUUUAUGUGAUCACUUGAUUUUUGCAUAUACUCCUUAGCGAAACAGGUUUUUCUUUGGGUUGCUUCUACUCUUACUGUCAAGGUUUCAGAAUGUUUUUUAUAAACUGAAUGAAAAUUCUUUUCACUUAUGAGAUUUGAAGAUAUUUUCUCCCAGUCUUGAAUUUAUUUUGUAAUUCUCUUACUAGUUUUUCUCAAAGAAAAACAUUUCAAAUUUGGUGAAAUCUAUUUUAUCUACCAAAAAAAAAAAACCCCAAAACAAAACAAAACAAAAAAUGGGAAUCCAUUUUAUCGAUUUUUCUCAAUGGAUUGUGCUUUUGGUGUCACAUUGAAGAACUUUUGUCCAUCUCCAGGUCAUGAGGAUUUCCUCCUGUUUGUUUCUGAAAAUGUAAUAAUUCUGAGUUUUACUUUUAGUUGUAUGAUUCAUUUUAUGUUAAAUUUCAUAUAGUUUUCAGUUUAGAUUGAGGUGAUUUGUUUUGUUUUUAUGAAUGUUCCAUAUGAAACUCCAACCACUUAGGAGGCAAAGGUAGAGGAUCUCAAGUUUGAGGCAGCCUAGGUCUUGAACAUUUUAUUUUCAUCUCAUAAGUUAUUUAUGAAUUUAUGAAUUUAUUUUAUUUAUGAAUUUAUUUUCAACAUAUAUGCUUGGUCUCAGGCAAAAUUAAUGAAACACAUAGGGCAACUUAAAUGGAUUAAAAAAAUAAAAAGGGCCGGAGAUGUAAGUAGUUGCUUAAUAAACACAAGGCCCUGGGUUAUAUCCCCAGUAUAAAAAAAAAACAAAAAAAACCCCAAUAUUUUUAGUUUAAAAGACUUUCAAUUAAAUUGAAUAUCCUCUAAAAUGUAAAAAAUCAGGCUGGAGUUGUAGCUAAGUGGUAGAGUGCUUGCCUAGCAUGUUUAAAGCACUGGGUUCAAUCUUUAGCACCACAUAAAAAUAAAUAAAUAAAAUAAAUAUAUUGUGUUUAUAUACAUCUAAAAAAUAAAUUAAGAGAUAAGAUAAAAUGUAAAAAAUUAAUUGAUUGUGUUUGUGUUGACAUUUUUUGGAAAUAAAGUGUGCAUUUGUUUUCAUUGAUCUACACUGUUAUCCUAUCACCAAUAUCACAUUUUAUUCUUAAACACAGCUUCAAAGUGACUCUUAAAAUCCAGUAGUACGAAUCUUCCAACUUGGUUAUUUUAUUUUAUUUCAUUUUUUAGUAUUCUUUUGGCCUUUCCAGCUCAUUUCCUUUUCAAAUAAACUUUAGAAAAAUUGUAUCUAAAUUAACAAAAUAUCUGGUAGGAUUUUGAUUAGAAUUGAUUUGAAUCUGUAAUUUAAUUUAGGGAUAAUUAACAUAUUUACUAUGUUCAGUGUUCCAAUACAUGAACAUAGUACUCACUUAUAUUGCUUUAAUUGUUUGAGCUUUUUAUUUACAUUUCAUUGACACACACCUAAGUACUUCAUUUUUUAGAAUAGUUGUAAAUAUUUAUUUAUUAGUUCAAGUUUUCAAUAGUUCCUUGUUAAUAUACACAAAAAAAUGAUUUAUCUUUGAUUUCUGAAAAGUUGCUAAAUUUACUUAUUAUACUUUUUUUAUACUUCUUGAUUUUUAUUUUUUGAUAAUUUCAGGGGUAUUUAUUUGUAAACAAUCAUGUCACCUAAAAGUAGAGUAGGUUUUAUUUCUUCUUCUCUAACUCAUACUUUUACUCACUUUUUUUUUUCUUGUUUCAGGGGCUAGAAGAACCAGUAUAGUAUUUGUCAGGAAUCAUAAGAGUAGAAACCCUGGACUUGUUCUUAGUUUUAGAGAGAUAGCAUUCAAUCUUUUUUCAUUAAGUAAUAUGUUAGCUAUAAGUUUUUCUAGAUGUCUUUGCUGAGAAGUUUUAGUCAUAUUUAGUCAUCAUUUUUCCUGCAGAUCUUCUUACAUUGCCUCAUACGUGAACUUUUUGGGGGACAUCACAUCUAAAUCAUAACACCCUCUUAUAAUAGCAACAUAAAGCUAUGUUUUUGAUAUGAUAAUUUAAAUUUAAAUUCAUAAUGUCUUCCUCCUGAAUAGUUGACUUAUUAUUUUAAUUUUAUAGUGAUUUCCUUUGUUUGAACAUAGUUCUGCCCCCUUCUGUGUGAAUUGUUUCUACUUUUGAAUACAGAUGGCCAUUAUUCCUUCAAAUAUUUGUGUCCUUUUUGGUGUAGAAAUUUUUUGUCAUGCCAACAUGUGUCUUCUCCAAUACUCUUCAUUUUUAUGAGUCCGUGCGGCUAAAUCUUCCCAAUUACAUAUAAGCAGAAGUGAUAUAUGUUAAUUUUAGUCAAGUUGGGUAAGAACCAGGCAUCCUUUCAUCAGCUUCAUUUUUUUAUACUCCUUGUCUGGAGGAAAAAGUAUUUGAACCCCUAGUGUAGAGCGGAGCCACCAGCUGGAGGGAGCCUGUGUUCCUAAACCAGAGUAAGAGAAGCAGCUCACCAAAAAUCCACAUUCGAUUUAGAAGUAAAAAAUAAACUUUUAUUGGAUUGUCACUAAAAUUUGGGGACAUGCUUGUUAUGGUAAUUUGUAAUAUCUUAACUGCUGCAAAAAUAUUGACUUGGAACAGAAUGCUACCCUCCAACUACAUUGCCAUAGCUGUCGUGUGGUAGGUGGCAAGGUAAUUGACAUCAGAAGCUGGAAAGCUCAAAAUCCAUCCAGCAGCACUUUAUAUAUUAUUGUCCCAAUUAAGGCAAACCAUUUGCCUACCACUGUGGAAGUCAGAGUAGUGUAGUGUGUGUUGAUCCUUACUGGAUGUGCUUUAUGAAAGUAUUAAGGGUAAAAAGUUGAGAUCCAGAAAGGACUUGAAAAUUUGUUUGUUUUUGGAGUGAGGGGAACUGAAAAAUAAAGAAAGAAAAGAUAAAAAGACAAUCCUAGAUUUUAGAAUCUUAACAAAUUGAAAUGUUGACCAAUUGUAGACUCCCAAACCAAAAUGAAUAGAGGUAAAAAGGAUUUAAGGAGCCAGGGUCCCGCCCUGGAUGAAAUUCAGGUUUGAGCCUUCCCAUCAGUCAUGUUACAUGACCACAGAGUGAUGACUUAGGUGGGCUUUCCUCUACCUACAACUGUUCCAACCAACACAGGUCUAUAUCCAUCUGUGUUGCUCUAUUUGUGCACCACGAAGCCUAUCCCUAUGAAUUGUCCUCCUGAGUUCCCCUGAGGGGGAUUUCUAACUGGACUGAUGGGCAUCUAGCAAGACUUUGGUGAGUUGGAAUAUCCCUUCCCUAUUCUCUUAUUCCUUUGGCGGACACUAUUUUUCUCUAUCACUAAAUCUUACUAACUAGAGAGGGGGAAAAUGUGGAAGUAAAGGUCAAAGAAAUCAAGGUUUGAGUAUUAUACCAAGGAAAGAACUACUGGCCCAUGGAACUAACUAGAGAGAAAUAGAUUAAAUACCUACUGUUUAUCUUGUGGAAUGGCAUUUUCAAAGGACUAAUAACUUACAACCAAAGCAGCCUUUGUCUAUUUUUGGCUUUAACAUAAAUUUGGAAACAUAUAAGCUUGUUGCCCAAACAUGCUGAAAUAGAAGACAAGAUAUGGAAUCUCUACAGGUGUGUAGUACCCCAAAUGGAAGCGAAGUGGGUCUAGGGUAGAGUGGACGAGGAAGAAUAUAUUAAAAAGUAGAGCUAUAGGUUAUGCAAAAACAGUGCAACAGGGUCCCUCCUAGAGAACAGAACCAGAGUCUUAUGUUUCUUCCUGACAGAAAAGGAAAAUGCUACAAUUGAUACUCGCAGGAAUUCAAAAUUUCUAAGGACCAGUCACUGCUGUAUUAUCCAGUUUUCUCUUUGGAAGUCUGAUGGGUGCUUUCUUGCCUCCCUUGUAUUGAUAGUUGAUGUUUGUACAGGUGAGGACAGAUAACUAUCUUUUCUAUUUUACUAGCUAUCAGCCCAUGAAGAUACACACCUAGACCUUCUGAAAUAAAAUGAGUAUCACCAGAGAUCUCUGAUUUGAGCUUCAUUUUUUUUUACUCCAUUGGGAUUUUUUUUUUUUUGAGAGAGAGAGAGAGAGAGAGAGAGAGAGAGAGAGAGAGAGAGAGAGAGAGAAUUUUAAUGUUUAUUUUUUAGUUUUCAGCAAACACAACAUCUUUGUUUGUAUGUGGUGCUAGAAGAUCGAACCCAGUGCCGCAUGCAUGCCAGGUGAGCGUGCUACCGCUUGAGCCACAUCCCCAGACCUCCAUUGGGAUUUUUAAUUGGGAAUUUGUUUUUUGGUAGAGAGAAAGAGUGUAAACAGAUAUUUUGCUGUCCUCAUGAACAACCUUUGAUAGAAAUGACUACUUUGUCCAAUAAUGUUUCUUGUACUUCUUCAAUAAUAUAGUUGCACUUUCCCCAAAUCUUUUUGUAUUUGAGAUUAAAUCAUCAAUUCUCAACAAUGGACUGUGAGCAGAAGUGAUAUGUGUCACUCUUAUGCCAAAAUGGUAAGAAGUGGAAGCCUUCUUCAUAGUCUCCUUUUAUAUCUACCAACUAUAAUUGAAGACUCUGAGGACUUAGUGGAUGAUGAAGUGAAAAUAUUCAUAGGGCUGGUCUCUAAAGCAAUAUAUGAGAGACAAUCUGAUGAACUCUGGUACAGGAUUUUUUUUAAAGGGUCUCAAUGUGUUGCCCAGGCUGGUCUUGAAUUCCUGGGCUCAAGUGAUCCACCUCCCAAGUGCUGAGACUUCAGCAUGAGCCGGCGAUCCUGGCUCUUGGAUUCCUACCUAAGCAAUAAAUAAUUUUGUUUGUCUAAGACAGUGAAACUCUAGUUCUUAUUUUUUAAGUUUAUUUAUUCUUCUUUUGUCCUCAGCCAUUAUAAACCUAUAACAAAUAUUCUUUCCUCCCUUUUUCUUUUUUUUUCUUUUUUCUGUUUUGUGUUGGAUUGAAAAGUUUUAAAAAUCUUCUCUGUUCUUGAAUUUCCAUGGAAGCUAGCUGUUGUAUUUUCAUUCAUUUAGUAAGUGCACAGAAAUUUAAAAAUCAAUGAAAAUUUAAAACAAAUUCAAAGUUAGUGCUACAAACAUCUUCUUGAUCAUGAGUAAGAUUACUAGUUGCUGGGCAUGUCCCUUUCUAUAAUUUUUGUCAUUAUCAAAUCUUUCAGUAAACACAAAAUUAGUAAUUUUACAUAGAAUAUUAAUUAAUUUUUCUGAUAUAAUGUAUCACUUCCUAUUCUCACUCCUGCUUCUUUUUUUUCCCCCUGAAUUCAGUAAUCCUUUUGGCAAAAGUAUGUUCAUGAAAAAUUCUCUUACACUUUAUUUUGGUUUCAUUGUGGAAUAAAUAGUUCAGUUGCGUGUAAGUGCAUUUGAAAGAAAAGUGGCACAGAAGUAAUCACACACACCUGGGAUAAGAAGCUGGUUUAUUGUCAGGAGUCUGACAAAGCUGCUCUGAGCAGAGAAAGGAACAGCAACAGCAAGUGAGGGACAGCAGCAGCAAUUUCCUUUAAAUGUUAUCUUUUAUAGGCUAGAAUCAUGGCCAUGUGCUAGGGGCGGGUUUAGUGUUGACUGACAUGGUAAGUAUCCCCUGAUCUUGUGGAAGGCAAGUUUGUUUCUUGGGAACACAAACAGGCACUUUUUCUGUCUCUCAGAGGGGGACAGGAAAACUGGCAUGUCCCUUUAUCUUCUCAAGUAGAGAACAGGGAAACCAGUACAUCCCCAUCUCAGGGUCCAGUAAGUUGUCUUCUAUCUAUCAAUGAGAGAACAGGGAGAAACCAGCACAUCUCCAGACCAGUAGGUUUUAUCAUGGGCUAUUUUCUAUUUCUUGGGAAUAAGAACAGUAUUUAUAAAGUGGGGGAGGGGGAAAGAAAGAUGGCUGCAAUUAUGCCAACAAUAUUGCUCUCCUUUAGCAGUUGGAAAAUAUUGCACUCUUUUUUUAGUCUAUACAUGGAGGAAAGGAAAGAGUCUAUUGCCAUUUCUUUAUUAUUGGUCUUCUAUUUUUAAUAACACUCAAGGAUUAACUAUGCUUUAAAUAAUUUGUACUUUUAUCAUGAUAUGAUGAUGGAUUUCUUAUUGUUUAUAUGGUUGGUUGCCGAGAUAAUUUUAAAUCUGAUGACUCUUCAACUACAAAAAUGAUUAUUUAGUGUCUCUGUAAGUAUUUCUUCUUCACCCUUCUCUCUAUACUUUUCAACUCUUAGGUCUCUUAAAAACACAUUGAAUCAUCAACCUAUCUUUUUCAUUUCUUACCUUCUGUUUCAUAAAGUUUUGAGAAAACAUUGUUUAGCUUGCAUGUUCAAUGUUAUUUUCAGUACUAUUUUCCAAAUCACUAACUUUCUCUUCUACCCUGGUUAGUUUUCAUCACAUCAGUUACAUUGUUGUUUAGUUGUAUAAAUUUUCAUUUCCAAAUUUAUGAAUUGGUUCUUUUUCCAGUACCUCUGAUUUUAUUUUCCUUCUGCUUCUUUGGUUUCAUGAUUUUUUCAUAAAUGAAGAUAAUGUCUUUAUUACAUUUUGAACAUCUUCAGCAUAUUAAAAGCAGCCUAAAAAUUAAGUACAUUAAAACUUAGGUAUUUGUUAAAGUAUAAAAUGCAUUUAAUCUGGAAUAAAUAAAAAUGAAUUUAAUUUGAAAUACAUACUAGUAAUUGUACUGGCUAGCAUUUUUAUUAUUUGAAAUAUUAAUUAAUUUAUUUUUGGAAUUUUGAUUGUAUGCUCAUUUUGAGUUGAGGCUUUGAUUUGUUCAAGGUUUAUUUGAUGUCACAUGAUCAUUCCCUGACAAGAAAUUUGUAGUUAUGGAUUCAUUGAUACUUUAUGGCUCCUAACCCUAACUUAGACAUUUUACACCUGCAUCAGUAAUUUUAUUCUGCAAGGGUGUGCACUACGUUGCAGGUUUACUCAGAGACUCACAAGUCAUCUCAGUUCAGGUCAGUGUCUUAAGGACAUUUCUUUCUUUCACCUCCUUAGUCCUACAGUUUAUAGUAAAAAAAAAUAGUCCCAUGAAAAAAUUUGGGGAUUAAUAAUUUAAUGUCUAUUAUAAGGAAAUAAUCACCAACACAAGAUCCAGCUUCUAGUAUUAAGAAAUGUGCAUGCAGCCAAUCUUGAGAAGAGCGCUUGUGGUCCCUUUUAUUUUAUGGUACGCUAAGUUCCUGAGCUCCAUAGCUUUUUUUUUUUUUUUUUUAAUUAGAACGGACUCACAGAGAGAUUUGGUUAAUGACUUUUCAUUUUUCUCUUAUGAAUGCCUUCAUAGGGUCUUGCAUUGCCUGGUAUGGAGUUGAAGAGACAAAGAGUGAAGCUGGAGCCAUCAUGAAUUGGAAAUAGUGUUUUAUUUCCACACAUCCCUAGGUCUCUAAAUGAAAAACAAAAACAGUUUUGAGGCAAUGUUUCACCCGUGACUGCUUGCUGAGACACCUAGUUCAGAAAUUCAUGAACAACCUCCUCUUGCCACCACAGCAUGUUGGACCAUCUUGAGCAUUUUCUACAUCUCUUCCUGCAUGAUUUCCUUUGUUAGAAAACAAAACCUUUUGCUUUCUUUCUUGAGACCCACGUUCCUGCCUUACUCAAAUACUUUAAUUGUCUUGCAUUUUUAGAAAGACUUUUUCUCAUCCCCCUAAAGCAUUUCAUUGCUGACAGAAAGGCUGACAAGGCAGCUGACACGGUGGCUAUUACUUUGAGCAGUUUCUAAACAAUAUCAUUUUGCUGCCCUUCUGCUUUCAGUGAAAUUAUAGGGUGCAUUCUUUUUUGUGGAACAAUGGAGCUCAGCUCCCACACCAGGGGUCCUGAACAAAUUCCAUACCAACCUCCUGAGCUUCAGAAUUAAUGCAAUUAUCACUGAAGAUGUCACUUCAGGCACUAGUAACAUCACUACAUUGGUUCAUCUUGCCAUAACAGAGGAAGAAGGAAUGGAGGAGUGAAGCUAUAAACACACACAAAUACACUUAUAUGUGGAUAUGUGUGUGUGUGUGUUCAUAUCUAUGUAUGUAUAAAAUAUCCUACUAAUUUGAAAUGCAUCCUGAGUAAAUAAGAGCAAUAUUUAUAGAAAUGCAUGGUGACAGAUCAGCUGUGAAUCUGAACUGGGGGCUGAUAAAUUCUCAUUACCUUCGUCUACCUGACAAAUGAAAUGACCUGCUAAACAGCUGUUGAAAAUUCAAUCAGAUACCUGCAAAUAGCAAGCAUCCCAUGUGACAUGUGGAGAAGGUUGGUGAACAUUCUUGGAUUGGAAUCACACAGAAUAAGGAAUAAAAGAGAAGUUUCCUCUAUCCCUUGCAUCUGAGAGGCUAUUUGAAACAAUGACAUUUUUUCAUUGUUGUCACCACUCUGUGCCAAUUCAAACCACUCUAAUUAUCUUUCCAUUUCUAGUCCACAGAGAAAAAAUCCUUGACUUUCCCUGAUCCAGAUAUUUCCAUUAAUCCUUCUCCCUAGACCCUACUUAAUGUAUAAGCUUAGUGUGAAUCUGCCUGCAGACCAUUUAUAUCAAUAUGGAAUAUAUAUGUCCAAAGUGGAGCUAUAUACAGUACAUUAUGCAAUAUGAAGAAAGUAUGAAAACUUCCUUUACUGUUUUUAUCCUACUUAUUUUACUCUAUACUUUUAACUGUUUAAUAUUUAUCAUGAAUUAGCACAACUAUAUAUAGUAGUAUUAUAAACUAUAUAAAAUUUAUAUUAUCUGUAAUAUAAUAUAAACAAUAUAUGAUAAACAAUUAUGUAUCAUAAUAUCUAAUAUUAUAAACAUUAUGAGUGAAAACUCAAUAUAUUAAAUGAUGGAAAUAUUCACUUCAAAAAAAUCAAAGAACACUAUUCUAGAGAAAGUCCUCUCAAAUUUUAAUAUGCACACAAACCAUCUGGGGAUUUUGUAAAAAGCAUAUUGAGAUUCAGUAGGUCUGAGAUGGGGUUAGACAAUUUGCAUUUCUAACAAACUCCCAGGUGAUGCUAUUUCUCCUGGUUCUUGGAUCACACUUAGAAUAGUAAGGCAUAAGUGUGAUUUGAUGGCCUGCUGAAAUUAUCCUCUUCCAAAAUAUUUCUCCCUCUGGGAAGGUAGAGAUACUUGGAAACUUUUUCUGUAUUAAAACUUCUCCUUAGAGGGUAGAAAUAUUGCUUUUGUCUGUUUUCUUUGUUUUGUUUUAAUUUGCAUUUCCCAGUAUAGGUAAAGAUAUAUAAAUACAUUUAGGUUGGGAUUCCCUGGAAACAAACUCUGAGCCAGAGAUUUGCAUACAAUAAAUAUGUUGGUGAAUGCUGUCAGGAGUUGCAAUUAUGGGGAAUGAACCUCAAUCAGUCAUUAGUUAUGGGCUAUCUCCAAGACAGGAGACUGUGCUCCUAUGGGAUUAUUCUUUUCCAAAGAGGGAAAUUUUAGGAGCGUUACUAAGCUGACUGACAGCUGCCAAUGGCCAAUAUUCCCAGCAGUGGAAAGACUGAGGUCCUUUUUCCUAAAGGUAGGAUUCUGAGCAACACACCAUAGUAUCCAUUACAACCUAUCCUAAUAUUUCCUUCUGUCUCCUAGAUACAUAUUUGCAGAUUAGGUUCUUCCAAGAUUCCAGUGAUCCUCUUUUCCUAAAGAAGAACAAAGUUAAUGGGAUGAACUAGAGCUUCUACUAUUGUUGGUUUUAGAAAAAGAACUGAUACUAUAAAAAUUGAGCCUCUGAUACUAACAGUUAUCUAAGUGAAUGACCUAGAUACCAAGCAUGUUCUUCUCAACAGCUCCACCUCCUUUUGAUUCACUGUCAAUUACUUCUGUCUUUUUGUUUGCUGGUCUAAUGAAACAAACUAGAGUGAUGGUAUGGGAACAAUACCAUAGUGUUUAAUAGGAUGCAUGCUUUCCCCUACUAGAAGUUUUCCCUUCCUUGGAAACCAGGACCUUUACUUUAUAGAUACCAAAACUUUGGGAAUGAGAAGUACAAAUUUGUCAAAGGAGUCAAUAAAACUAAUAAAAAGUGGAGUCUCGUUUUGGGGAUCCUUGAUGUGGCUCAGGAGAUUGCAACUCUUCCCCACAGGGUAUAACCAUUGACCUGAUGGGUCAGGUGCAAUUUCAAUAGGCUCUUCUUCCCAAUGACAUCUUGUAGGUGUUGUGGUCUAUGCAAGGACUAGUAGAUCACAUGGAUUAUUCUUUGUUUACUGGCAUUGUCGUAAAUAGUCUAGCUGUGUCUAAUGCAGUAUUAUGCAGAAUACAAUUCUAUUUCAUUGUAUUGAAAAUUCUAUAACCCCUAAGAUAUAAACAUUGAAUGAUGUCCAUCAGGCAAGAAAAGAAAACCCAUGCCUGAAUAUAUUUUAAUUCCAGUAUUACAGGAACAACUCUUGUAAAAUAUUAAAAGAUGUAGAAUUAGGUAGUGAAUGAAAUCACCUUUUAUGCAGACACAAUGAAAGCAUUAGGUCAAUUCUGUUAAGCUAUCUUGGCAUGGCCUUUAGAAUUCUGCCUCAUGGAUUCAAGGGACUCAAGAUUUUGCAUACAAAAUGGACAGGUCUUUUGCUAUGGGAUGCUCUUUGGAUAUGGUGUGAUAUUAAUGAAGGUGAGUCUCUUCAGGUCGAGAAAAUUCGCACUGGGGAAUUCAUUUGAAUUCACUUGUCAGAUGCCAACAUUCCCAAAGUGUAGAAGAAAGGGAACUUUACUCCUUAAAAGAGAUGGCUGGGUCUGAACCUCAUACCACAGAACCACAGAAACACUAAUAUUAUAUAUGAAUAUAUUUAUUUAUUACUCUUAUACAUGAAUUAGGACCGGUUCCUUUUCAGUGCAGACAGGUAUUCUUUUAGCUGAAGUUGGCAGAUACAUUGUUAAUAUGAACCAGAAAAGCAAAAUUACAUUAGAUCCCAUGAAACAGAAAAUCCCUGAACAGAGAUAAGGGGAAUUGAAAGGAGAAAAUGUGAAAGUACUGAAGACUUCAUCGACUAUCUGAUACUCAUUUGUUCCUACUUCUUCCAAAAGGGUCAUCUCUGUGUAUCCAUUGGUGGCAGUGGGAUGGGUAGAGAGCAUCUAUGAAUAGAUAGAGCAGUAUGUAACAGACAUGGAGGAUGAAUCAGUCUUAGGCAAAAAAGAAAGGAAAGGAAGUUUGUAGUCUCAGUGCAAUGGUUUGAGCAGUAUGUGGUGGUUAGUUAUGCUAUCUGAUUGAUGGUUAGUAGUAUCCCAGUUCUCUUACCCAGUCUGGUCCAUCUCUCAUCAGUUAUUAAUUAAUCUUCACUAACACAUUCACUAAUUAUAGCUUAAGUUCUUCCUCUCCCCAGAAAUUUCUGCAGACCUGAAAAAAAAUUUUCAAUUAUAUCUUUCUCUAACUCUUUUCCAAAUAUUCACCUAUGACCUCAUUGUAUGCUAUUUCAUGUAGUAUAUAUCAUCCUUGUUUUUUGUUAGGCAAAUGGGGGUAGGAGAUAUAUACACAUGUGUAACCUUUCAUCUUUACCUUUAACACACUAAACUUGUUUUCAUAAUAUAGCCUCUGUGACUGUUAGUUUUCUCAAACACAAUGUGACAAAAAAAUAGGUUUCAAAUAAUGAAAAGAUUAACAAUAAUAAUGUCUAUCCUGUAACUUGUACUUAAGAAUUUGAAACUGCUAAUUAAUACCAUUUUCAGCCUUAAUUUUUUAUGAUGUACCAGGAGGUAAAAUAUGCAAGGUUUUGUUUGAGAUUGUAUGUCACCCAACUGAGGAUAAAGGGAUCCACACAAUUAUGUGAAUAAAACACAUGAGUGUUUUAAAGUCAUUUAUUGAAAUUAUUUUGGCUGUUCAUAAAUACUAUUUUCACUCUUCACUUUAUAUUUCCUGUAUUUCAAAAAUAUGAAAAGUUUUCAAGGAGCCAAAUUUCACAGAAGUGGGUCCUUACCUGGCCUUAUUCUCAGCCCUGUCCCUGUGUAAAAAGACAUUUAACAUUUCAUGUUUCAAUUUCUUUAUCCACAAACUGGAGGCCAUCAUCCUGACCUGCAUCAUCAAAAAGCAAUUUCUAUUAGCAAAUUAAUGACUGUUGAGGCAGCUAUCGAUGCUGAGUAUCUUUCAUAUUAGAUUGGGCUUCAAUUGCCAAACAGAAAGUGAACCAUUCCAGGAAACCCCUGUGGGAACAAGAGUUUAAAUUCUUUUUUUUUUUUUCUGUUUCUGGGCAGCUAAGGAAAAGUACUGGUCAAAAGAGAAGAGGAAAGGCAAGGGGGAGGAGAGGGCAGGGAGGAGAGGAGAUAAAACAGUUCAAGGUUGUAUUUUCCUGACUUCAUUCCUGCAAUGUCGGCCUCACCCUUUAUGACAAGGUCUGAGGAAGAUGUAGUUUAUGAUGUGCUUCAAGUGUGAUAAAGAAGCUGAGAGGUGAGCCUGGGAAGGGUUAGGUGUCCUUGAGGACCGGAUGGGCUUGAGUACUCUGUGAGGAUGGAUGUUAUUAAAUUGAAUUAUUAUUAUUAGCACUUAGACAAUGUGGAGAGGAAAAGGAGGAGAAAGGAAAGAGAGCUAAAUUAAAACUGCAUAUGGAUCUCGUUGGGAGAGAAUUCUGAGAGCUGCAGCUGAUCCGUAAAUAUGGCCUGGACUCUUCAGGGAGGGGCGGGUGAUUCAGGAGGAAUUCUUCAAUUCUGUGAGGACCUGCUUUUUACCGGGAGUGUUUGUUGAAGAUACAGAGGCAAGUCCAGGCCUCUUCUGUGGUUUUACUGAGAAACAGAGAUUCAAUUAAUUAGCGUUUAUGAAGGCUGCUCUUCCGGUUACCUCUGCUCCAGCCAAAAUGGAAUCCUCUCCUCCAGGGUACCCUGUGUUUGCCCAUGUUAUUCCACCUUCCAUAGGACCUUCAUGCUUUUCUGAUCUGAGUCAUAUUCUCCCCACCUUUCGCAGGCCAGUUUUGAAAUUGCACUCGUCAUUUUUAUUGGCAGUAGUUAACAUUUAUGAAGCACUUACCAUGUGCCAGGCACCGUGCUAAGCACUCAGCAUUUAUUAUCUCAUCUUGUCUUUACAUGUGCACUACGAGGAGGAUUUCAUUGACCCUAUUUCACAUCCGAGGCUCUUAUCUCAGAAAGAUAUAUAACGUGACCCCAGGGCUUUACAACAAGUGUUAGAAACUGGACUCCAUCCUGUUUCUUUCUGACUCUAAUACUUGUGAACUUAAAUUUCUACUGGUCUCCCUGAAGCAUAAGCAGGUAACUUUAAUCCAUAUGGAUGUGUCAAUCUUCCCAGGUACCCCCUCUCAUUUCUAUUGAUUCACAUAAAAAUAUAAACUAAAGAAAUGGAAGGAAUUGUGAGGGACCACUAAAAACUCUCAUGUGCUGAGGAGGAAACAGGAUUCAGGACAUAAGUGGUGCUUUCAUUCCUUCUCCAGUGGUCAAAAGUGUGCGGGAUCUAGAAAGAAAUUGCUGAGUUCCACAAAGGAUCUAUCAAGGGAUAGCACUUACUGGGUCAUGGACUAUUAUCUUAAACUAUCCUGAAGACUAUUUCAUAGUUGUUUUUGAGGAACACAGAAAAAAAGUAAUUCUUUAGGAAGAGGGCUUUUAUCAAGGAAAGAGACUGUAUAGAUGAGGAAAUGAUGAGAAAUUACCCCACAGAGACAUAAGACCAUUUAUUUACAACAUCACUUAUAUUCCAUGGGACACUCAUGGAUGCUGACACUUCUGUCCUUACAUUAUUUGAUUUGUCAGCAGCAAUAACUAUGAAAAGAUUCUCUUCUCUUUGAAAUGCUUUCCUUUUCCUUCCAGUUCCAUAGUGAGAGUGCAUUCCCCACCUACUGAGGGAGCUCUCUUAUCCCAUUAGAUUCUCUCUCAGGUUUCAAUGCCUCUUCUAGAUAUGGAGAAGCUGGAUGCUCCAGGAUCUUUCUUUGGCCCUCUCUCAUCUCUAUUCAGUCUCUCCCUGGGAGACCUUAUCAAUUUCCUUAGCUUCAAUUUGCAAUUGCACAAUCAUCUGUAAAAAUUUUAUCUCCAUCCUGGGCUUCUUCCACACUCUACACUAAAAUGUCCAAUUGAUAUUUAGAAGUUCUUUUUGAAUGUCUAAUAGCUAUCUCAAACUUUACUGAAAUAAAAGCGAAAAAGCCAAUUCCUAAUUUAUUAUGAAAUAUUUCUUCUCCAACCCACCCUUCUUCAUCUGUAAAAAGUAUUUAAAUUUACCCCAUUUUAAAGUAAAAAAUCUAGAGGUCAUUCUUCUUUCCUCUCUUUUGCUCAACCCAUAGCUUCUCUCUUCUAACAAGCCACCUCCAUUGUUCUUCUAAACACUUCUCAAAUGGGUUCACUGCUUCAAGUCUCCAUGGUCACUCUAACUCAAGGUUUAAUAAUAUAUUAUCUGGACUGUCACCCAGGUAAGCAUUCACUUGACUUUAUGUUUCUGUAUGUGUUCAGGUUCAAGGUAGCCUGCAAAAGACCCAAGGUGGGCUUCUUCAAAGAUUAGGCCACAGGGAAGGAGAUUGAGCAAAUUAUUUUAUAUGCACAUAUGAAUAUGUUAAAAUAAUCAAUCUCACUAUUAUGUAUAAUUGUAAUGCACUAAUAAAAAAGGGAAAAAAACCCUAAAAUUACAUGUCAGAUCAUGACUCUCAAUUUCCCACACCAUUCACAAUGGGUGUCAUCCCUUUGAUGCAAAUACUCAACCCCCUGGCCCCAGCCUCUAGAAUUCUCUAGGUACUGACCCUCACCUCCAUCCAUCUUUCCCCAUCCCAGUAGGAGUCAUUUCCAUUGGUCCUUUUUAGGUUUCUUUGUAUCAUACCUGUUCGUUCCUGCUUAAGCUUUUCUCAUAUCUAUUUUCUCUGCCUGGAAUGUUCUCCCUACGACUUUCACAGGGAUUUCUGUGGUCAGGUAUUCUAUUGCAUCUUCAGUGUCACCUUCCAGGCAAUUUAAAGUAGCUUCCUGGUCACAGUGAUAUGACCCUAUUAACUAUCUGAAUAGGACAUAUCAUCACUUGCUUUUUUCCUCUUAAUUUUCUAACUUUUGCCUUUUCUGAUUUGAAUGCCAAUUUAUGAAAGUAAAGCUUAUUCAUUUUUAUAAUCUUAGGUUUUAGACAAUGUCUAGUACCUAACACUCAGUAGACUUUGUUCAAAGAGAAAAGUAGAAAUAAAUGAAAAAAAAAAUCAGAAUGAGUGAUCCCCUAUACUAAUGUUCUAAGUACUUAUUGCUCAUAAAAUGGGUUUGAAACUUUACAUAUGAAUAUAUAUGCCGUGGUGAAAGUGUCACUGAAACUAGUGGCCAGUGAGAUGAUUUAGAAGAUGACAAAUGAAAGUUAUACCUUAAAAAUACUGUUUAAACAGAGGUGAUGAGAAAAUAGCACUAUAAUCAAAGAAGCUUUUUUAUGCCUGAAAAGAAAUCCUCAAACUUAUCAGAGGUAGAGCAGUACAAAACAUUCUUAUGAUUAAGUAUAAAAGAAAAACAAAGUGAUAUCACUGUGAGAUGAUACUUUAUAGAAAAUCACUAGAGAAAAUAUAUGGUUAUAGUUUUUCUAAUAUAGAUCAUAAAAAUGGUACAUACGGAUGUUAAAGUAUAGAGAGUGGGAGGUAGACUGAGGUUUUUUUCAAAUAUUCUCAUACUUGUCUCAGAAAAUGAUAUCGCAGUCUCUGUAAUUAUUUGUGGAAGAGUCCCAAAAUAUUGUACUUAAAAAUCUUCUUUCCAUCGAAAUUCAGAUGAAAUCAAUCACUUAUUAUUAUCUGUAACCUGAUUAGAAUAAAACUGCCUAAAUGAUCCAAUCUCAGCUUGGUGUGUC